CUACGUGCCAGCAGCCGCGGUAAUACGGAAGGUCCAGGCGUUAUCCGGAUUUAUUGGGUUUAAAGGGAGCGUAGGCUGGAGAUUAAGUGUGUUGUGAAAUGUAGACGCUCAACGUCUGACUUGCAGCGCAUACUGGUUUCCUUGAGUACGCACAACGUUGGCGGAAUUCGUCGUGUAGCGGUGAAAUGCUUAGAUAUGACGAAGAACUCCGAUUGCGAAGGCAGCUGACGGGAGCGCAACUGACGCUUAAGCUCGAAGGUGCGGGUAUCAAACAGGAUUAGAUACCCUGGUAGUCCGCACAGUAAACGAUGGAUGCCCGCUGUUGGUACCUGGUAUCAGCGGCUAAGCGAAAGCAUUAAGCAUCCCACCUGGGGAGUACGCCGGCAACGGUGAAACUCAAAGGAAUUGACGGGGGCCCGCACAAGCGGAGGAACAUGUGGUUUAAUUCGAUGAUACGCGAGGAACCUUACCCGAGCUUGAA
rnacentral:rRNA from 1 species